AAGGAUCUAUGAUAUAAAAAAUUUAUAUAUAAAAUAUAAUAUAAAAUAGAAAACUGCAUCAAUCACAUCGAUGCCCUGAAUCUGAUCUAACCUUUAAAUUAUAUUGGUUGAGUUCAGAACUCAUCAUCUUUUCAUGGAUCGAUGAUCUUCACUACUGGUAGGCAUGGUAUGAAGCUCUCACUGAUGUUGAGCAGCUGCACAGGUCAUCCGGCCUCUACAGUUUUUUCACUCAAAGUCCUAAUCGGAUUUUCCUUUGCAAGAGUGUAAGCUCGCGUCGAAGACUCUGGAUGGCUGAUCCAAGUUUCUUUCUUUGGAUCUCCCGGACUCCUCCUGAUCAGAAGAUGAAGCUUUAUGAGGAGGUGGUGGUGUGAAAGAUUGGACGAGACUCACUCUUGUAUUUUCUUUUCAUAAAACCUAGAGCUGAAACCCUAGAACCCACAGCUCACGUCCGAGAGGAUGAACACUUCCUCUGUAUCUCACGCACGGAAGCCCAACCCACUCUCAACUUUUCACAUCUCCACUCUUAGGUUUCUCACACCAAAAAUCAUUCUUAAUCUCGCACAAAAUUGAUUCCCUUUUAAGGUUGGCAUCCCAUGGAAAAUAAGAAUA
rnacentral:lncRNA from 1 species